rnacentral:rRNA from 1 species
UACAGAGGUCUCAAGCGUUGUUCGGAAUCACUGGGCGUAAAGGGGGUGUAGGCGGUGUGCUAAGUCAGAUGUGAAAGCCCGGGGCUCAACCUCGGAACUGCAUCCGAUACUGGCAUGCUAGAGAAUUGGAGAGGAGUCUAGAAUUCACGGUGUAGCAGUGAAAUGCGUAGAUAUCGUGAGGAAUACCAAGUGCGAAGGCAGGACUCUGGACAUUUUCUGACGCUGAGACACGAAGGCCAGGGGAGCAAACGGG